GGAGCUGCGGCGAUGAGGCACUGUGUCUGCCAUUGCUUGUGGACUCCAGGGAGGAGCUCUGGGAGCCUGGAAACAAGGAGAUGGAGCAGCAUUGGCUAGGACUUACCUUUUGUCCCUCGGAUGAUGUGGAUGCUCUCACCAGCACUGAUUCUUGCCUGUACAUCAGUGGACGUGUUUGUACCCGGAAUCACAAUAUCUGGUAGUGGGAGAAGAAACAGAACAGUGUCCAUUAAAUUACAAGCCAGCUACAGUCAGGAGAGGGCAGGUGCCCCACCAA